CGGGAGGCAGCAGUAGGGAAUCUUCGGCAAUGGACGAAAGUCUGACCGAGCAACGCCGCGUGAGUGAAGAAGGUUUUCGGAUCGUAAAACUCUGUUGGUAGAGAAGAACGUUGGUGAGAGUGGAAAGCUCAUCAAGUGACGGUAACUACCCAGAAAGGGACGGCUAACUACGUGCCAGCAGCCGCGGUAAUAAU
rnacentral:rRNA from 1 species